AUUGAACGCUGGCGGCAGGCCUAACACAUGCAAGUCGAACGAGUGGCGGACGGGUGAGUAAUGCAUGGGAACCUAGCUUAUGGAGGGGGAUAACUACGGGAAACUGUAGCUAAUACCGCGUACCAUAGGCUGAGCCGAAGUGGGAUUAGGUAGUUGGUGGGGUAAAGGCCCACCAAGACGACGAUCUCUAGCUGGUCUGAGAGGAUGACCAGCCACACUGGGACUGAGACACGGCCCAGACUCCUACGGGAGGCAGCAGUGGGGAAUAUUGCGCAAUGGGCGAAACCUGACGGAGCCAUGCCGCGUGAGUGAAGAAGGUCUUCGGGUUGUAAAGUUCUUUCGGUAGCGAGGCGUUAUCUACAGAGAAAGCACCGGCUAACUCCGUGCCAGCAGCCGCGGUAAUAC
rnacentral:rRNA from 1 species